UGGGGAAUAUUGCACAAUGGGCGAAAGCCUGAUGCAGCAACGCCGCGUGAGGGAAGACGGUUUUCGGAUUGUAAACCUCUGUCCUUGGUGAAGAAAGAAAUGACGGUAGCCGAGGAGGAAGCCACGGCUAACUACGUGCCAGCAGCCGCGGUAAUACGUAGGUGGCGAGCGUUGUCCGGAAUUACUGGGUGUAAAGGGAGCGUAGGCGGGUCGGCAAGUCAGUGGUGAAAUACAUGGGCUUAACCCAUGAAUUGCCAUUGAAACUGCCGGUCUUGAGUGGAUCAGAGGCAAGCGGAAUUCCGAGUGUAGCGGUGAAAUGCGUAGAUAUUCGGAGGAACACCAGUGGCGAAGGCGGCUUGCUGGGGUCUAACUGACGCUGAGGCUCGAAAGUGUGGGGAGCAAACAGG
rnacentral:rRNA from 2 species